CACACCGACCUUCCCCUCCAGCUCCUGCACCAACUCCGUACACCAAAGCGCUUCCAGCCGCCCGCACCACCCCGCACACAGCCGCCCGACGCGUGAUUACUACGAUUUCCAUUCACAACCGAACGGACACGUGCUUUUGCACAGGUGCGCUCUCGCAGAAACACGGUGUAAAUAAAACAGAGGACGACAACAGCGCACCGACGGAACGGAGCGGCGCCGGGCUCGCACCCCCCCGCCCCGCGCCGACCCCCGCCGCUCGCUGCCGGCUCCCGGUUCCCCGCUGCUUACCGUUCCCGAGCCGGAGCCCGGCGCACGCCGCAGCUCCUCGGGCGGUUCGCGUCCUCAUCGCGGCGGAGCGGAGCGGUUCGGAGCCGGCGGUUGCGCGCCUCCUGCCCGGGAGCGCCGAACAGCGCUGCCCCCGCCCCGCAGCUCCGCGCCCGCGGACAACGCCCGCCCCGGCCCCGCCCAGCCCCGGCCCCGCGGUGGAAAGUUGCGCCCGUCCCGGGGUUGGGAGCCGCUAACCCCCGACCCGGGCGGGGUCAGCCACCCGGCACGUCCCGGGCCGCUCUCCCGACGCGCAUCUUCCGACGUGGUUGGUGGCUGAGCGCUUUGGUCGGGCAAAUCCCCCCCCCGCCCGGGCUCGGCCGAGAUGCUUCGUUUCGCCGCGUCGUGGCUUUUCAAGCCGACUUCGAGGGUUGGUUUGUGGGAGAAAAACGUAGAAGGGAAACGGAGCGCUGUGACGCGUUUCUCACUGGAGGGGUCGACCCGGCUCUUCUGACCUUAGGAGAGAUUUGGCGCCGAAGAUCCAGGUGAGAAACAAGCGGCCGCGUGAUUCAUCGGGACUGGAUCACAGCGCGGAGCGGCGGCAGCCCCGGCACUGCUCCACAGCACCACUGCGCUGCCAGGCACGGCUGGGAGGCAGGGCGGGAUAAAACCCACUUGGCAGGGCUGCUUUGGGAGCACACGGCUUUGAACGCAGCACUGUCCCCUGCGCCCCAUUGUGUGGGAUGGUCUUUGUUCAAAAGAGAGCCUGAAUAAAUUAGGUUUUGAGGGUUAUACCUGCCGUCA
rnacentral:lncRNA from 1 species